GGGGAGCUUUUUAACCCCUUUCCGGUGAGGUGGGAACUCAUCUUCGUUUUCGAAUUUAAAAGAACAAUGGAACCCUGACUACGUUUCAACAAAAAUAAAACUUGUUUUUUUUUUUUCUUUUGGGUGUUGGCUUUUAACUCUUUCAAAGCCGAUUUUGAAAACGGCUGCAGUGUUGCAGAUGAGAAGGUAACUUACAAGAUUAAAAUUAAAUUUGGUUGAUGAUGGUUCUGAACAAAUACAGCUCUUUUAUUUGAGGUAUGCCAUUUUGAAGACUGAGACCGUGGAAUUUUAUCCUUGAGGAUAAAGGAAAUCUUUGCGAUAGUCUGUGAUUUAUAUAGCAAAAAUAUGAAUCCUGAGGCUGAAUUAUCUAAGGGGCCAGUACAACGAAAUAGAUGUUGGUGGAAGAAUUUACACCCAGUCAGCUUGAAGAGUCUCAAAUGGACCCUACCACUGAGAAAUCAAGAUGGCAGUCCACUAUGGGGAAUUGAGAAAAAUGGAUUAAUACAAGAGUGCUGUGAUAAUAUACAACCAAGACAGGGUUCUUUUAACAUGGAUUUCAUGAAAUGAAUGAAGAUAUAGGUUUCUUACCCAGCACAAAUGGACAGUGAAUUUGACUUUCUAGAGACUUUGUAUCAUUAAGAACGUUUUUGACAUUUGGAGAAGAAAGAUGGCACAUUAACAGAUGAUAGUUUGUAUGUCUGGAAUCUUUUGCAGUUUGAUUUGUAUGAGUAUGAUCUUGUGGAAUGUUAACUUUAAUAAAAUUUCUAACACUUUAAAA